AACGAACGCUGGCGGCAUGCCUAACACAUGCAAGUCGAACGAAGUCUUCGGACUUAGUGGCGCACGGGUGCGUAACGCGUGGGAAUCUGCCCUUGGGUGCGGAAUAACUUCUCGAAAGGGAUGCUAAUACCGCAUAAUGUCGUAAGACCAAAGAUUUAUCGCCCAAGGAUGAGCCCGCGUAAGAUUAGCUAGUUGGUGGGGUAAAAGCCUACCAAGGCGACGAUCUUUAGCUGGUCUGAGAGGAUGAUCAGCCACACUGGGACUGAGACACGGCCCAGACUCCUACGGGAGGCAGCAGUGGGGAAUAUUGGACAAUGGGCGAAAGCCUGAUCCAGCAAUGCCGCGUGAGUGAUGAAGGCCCUAGGGUUGUAAAGCUCUUUUACCAGGGAUGAUAAUGACAGUACCUGGAGAAUAAGCUCCGGCUAACUCCGUGCCAGCAGCCGC
rnacentral:rRNA from 1 species